GGUUUAGAACGUCGUGAGACAGUUUGGCCCCUAUCUACCGAUAAUGCUCAAAAAUUGAAAAAAUUCUUUUUUAGUACGAGAGGACCAAAAAGUAUAUACCUCUGGUGGUCCAGUUGUUGUGUUAGCAGCAUAGUUGGGUAGCUAAGUAUAAAAAUAUAACUGUUGAAUCCAUAUUAAACAGGAAGAUAUUUUUAAAAAAAAUUUUUGUAAAGAAAGUUGUAAUAGAAGAUUACGUUUAUAGGUCAUAUGUGUAAGUAUAGUAAUAUAUUUAGCAGAAUGAUACUAAUAACUU
rnacentral:rRNA from 1 species